AUGUUGCGCACGACACUUGUAGCGCGCCGUCGCCGCGCGCCUCAGCGCACGCCGCAGCCAAUCAGCAUCACAAACGCCCCGGCCCAGCCCCCGCGCCGCUCCUCGGGAAAAAGACUACAAGUCCCAGAGGGCCUCGGCGCCGCCACGUGCUGUCCCCGCCCGCCAAUGGGCGGAAGCGCCGAGCCAGCCUGCUCCCGCCCCCCAGCGCGCCCGAGCCAAUCGGAAGGGGCGUGUGUGCGAGGGCAGGCGGGGAGGGGGUUCGCUCAGAACCCGGAGGCCCUGCUCGCAGGUCCCGGGGCCCCGGUGGUGGCCGGAGCGCUCGGUCCGCUUGCGGCCGGCGGGUGGACCCCUCCCGCCCUGCGCGCGCGCCGGCCUCCCCUCCGUCUGCCCUCCUCGGCUUCCGCGCGGCGGCGGCGGUUCCUCCCCUUCCCCCAGCCCUGGCUCCGGGGGACCCCGCGAUGCCGGUCCGCACCGAGUGUCCCCCGCCGGCCGGUGCCUCGGCCGCCUCCGCCGCCUCGCUCAUCCCGCCACCGCCUAUCAACACGCAGCAGCCCGGCGUGGCCACCAGCCUGCUCUACAGCGGCUCCAAGUUCCGCGGCCACCAGAAGAGCAAGGGGAACUCGUACGACGUGGAGGUAGUGCUGCAGCACGUGGACACGGGGAACUCCUACCUUUGCGGGUAUCUGAAGAUCAAAGGCCUUACUGAGGAGUACCCGACCCUCACGACCUUCUUUGAAGGAGAGAUAAUCAGCAGGAAGCACCCUUUCUUAACCCGCAAGUGGGACGCUGACGAGGACGUGGACCGGAAGCACUGGGGCAAGUUUCUGGCUUUUUAUCAGUAUGCAAAAUCAUUUAACUCAGACGACUUUGAUUACGAAGAGCUGAAGAGUGGGGACUAUGUCUUCAUGAGGUGGAAGGAGCAGUUCCUAGUCCCGGACCACACGAUCAAGGACAUCAGUGGUGCUUCCUUUGCCGGCUUCUACUACAUCUGCUUCCAGAAGUCAGCGGCCUCCAUAGAGGGCUACUACUACCACAGGAGCUCAGAGUGGUAUCAGUCGCUAAAUCUCACUCACGUUCCAGAACACAGCGCCCCCAUCUACGAAUUCCGGUGACAGCGGCUCGGAACAGUAACCAAACAAACUGAACUUGGCAAAAAAGAACUUUGCCAGGAAAACCGUGUACCUGCCAGAACCGGGAGAACGUGUGUUCCUGUUUCUUCACGAGCAGACUUGCAUCGAAAGCAUGAAUGUCAGCCCGCAGCAUCCGAGGAGUGGCCAGCCCGCAGGGCAGGUGGAGGGCGACCUCGGCUCCUCCUCCCUCCCUGUGAGGUUUGGUCGUGAGCUGUUUUUAGGCUGCCGUCAAUGCACUUUUCCUUCCUGCACAGCUAACUUCUGUAUCCCUGAGAUGCACAGCCCUUGCUCCACCCCUGCCUCCAGCUGCAUAGGUCAGCCCCAGCCCACCCUGGGCCACGGUGCUCAGUGGUCCCCACCCAGGGCCCCCGCCCCCGGCUGCUUAGUCGGGUAAGUCAAGAGAAGGCAGAGCCCAGCUCCCACGUGCCCCUGGAGUUCGUGCGGGGCGCAGGCCAAGUGCUCAGCGAGGGCGAUCGAGCCAAGCUAGCCUGUGGCCAGUGGGUCCCUUGGGCCUGCCGUUGGGACCACAGGGUUUGAGGCUUCCAGGUCCCUGGCAGGAACAGACUCCAGUCCUGCCCACUCAGCACGUUUGCUCCAAACUUUUGAACUUGAGGGCAAUACUAAACUUUAAAAAAAGAAAAGUUUUUUUAUUACAAAAUUAUUUUUAUGGUUCCUUUAGCAAGGACCCUAUGGCAAAUGCACAAUUAUUCAGAAUUACAUUUUAUCGUUUUCACAUUGAAAACAGCAAAUGUUGACUUAGUAAUUUUUAUAUCUAUAUGUAAAUGUAUAUUUAAUCAGCCAGCAGUUUGAAACUGGUCACCUGGUGAGACGUUCUGCAGCAUUGCAUCCAUUCUAGUGCUAAACGUGAGGACCAUUCUGGGGGGCCAGUUUAGCACUUGUUCCUCCUCCUUUCGCUACUCAGAACAGCAGCACUUCCCAGCGACCUCUCCCAUCAGGCAGAAGGGGCCGCUGCAGCCCUCGACCCGCAGCUCAGCGGUGUCGGGGCAUAGGAGGGGCUGAGCUUGAACACGCUCAAGUAACCCGAGGCUCAUGUGCCAAAGUGUGUGUGUGUGUGUGUGCACACAGGCGUGCGCGGCUGUUUUGUUUUGUUUAAACGUUUAGAGAGCUUCAUGUGGCAUCCGCUACAGCCCCCAUAUGCGGCAAGGCCUGGGUGGGUUUGGUGACUUCUGGUGAUUUAUAGACUCAUUCGAAACCCGGGAGGGAAAGCUUUAACUGAGAGGUGGUGUUGCCAUAACCCACAGGAGCGGAACUGGCGUGAGGGACAGGUCCAGGGCGGAGGGAGAAGACAAAGCCCUCCGGUCUAUGUGAGCGGUGAGGCGGGUCUCUUAGUCUCAGAAUCCUUUAUUGAAGUACGUGCUGUAUGUUGCUGAGAUUGCAUGUCAGGAGAAGCCUUAAGGAGAAGUGCUGGGAAGGUGGCUGCAGC
rnacentral:misc_RNA from 1 species